UACGUAGGGUGCAAGCGUUAUCCGGAUUCACUGGGUUUAAAGGGAGCGUAGGUGGGUUGAUAAGUCAGUGGUGAAAUCUUCGAGCUUAACUCGGAAACUGCCAUUGAUACUAUCAGUCUUGAAUAUUGUGGAGGUUAGCGGAAUAUGUCAUGUAGCGGUGAAAUGCUUAGAUAUGACAUAGAACACCAAUUGCGAAGGCAGCUGGCUACGCAUAUAUUGACACUGAGGCUCGAAAGCGUGGGGAUCAAACAGG
rnacentral:rRNA from 1 species